AAGCCUGAUGGAGCAACACCGCGUGAGUGAAGAAGGGUUUCGGCUCGUGAAAGCUCUGUUGUUAAAGAAGAACACGUAUGAGAGUAACUGUUCAUACGUUGACGGUAUGUUAACCAGAAAGUCACGGCUAACUACGUGCCAGCAGCCGCGGUAAUACGUAGGUGGCAAGCGUUAUCCGGAUUUAUUGGGCGUAAAGAGAGUGCAGGCGGUUUUCUAAGUCUGAUGUGAAAGCCUUCGGCUUAACCGGAGAAGUGCAUCGGAAACUGGAUAACUUGAGUGCAGAAGAGGGUAGUGGAACUCCAUGUGUAGCGGUGGAAUGCGUAGAUAUAUGGAAGAACACCAGUGGCGAAGGCGGCUACCUGGUCUGCAACUGACGCUGAGACUCGAAAGCAUGGGUAGCGAACAGGAUUAGAUACCCUGGUAGUCCAUGCCGUAAACGAUGAGUGCUAGGUGUUGGAGGGUUUCCGCCCUUCAGUGCCGGAGCUAACGCAUUAAGCACUCCGCCUGGGGAGUACGACCGCAAGGUUGAAACUCAAAGGAAUUGACGGGGGCCCGCACAAGCGGUGGAGCAUGUGGUUUAAUUCGAAGCUACGCGAAGAACCUUACCAGGUCUUGACAU
rnacentral:rRNA from 2 species